GAUGAAGAACGUAGCGAAAUGCGAUAAGUAAUGUGAAUUGCAGAAUUCAGUGAAUCAUCGAAUCUUUGAACGCACCUUGCACCCUUUGGACUGCUCCAAAGGGUAUGCUCGUUUGAGUGUCAUUGUACUCUCACACUCUCUGAUCCUUUGGAUUUGGGGAGCGGUGGACUUGGGUGCUUGCUGCUUCCUUGUGGCUCACCUGAAAUGCAUCAGUGCAUCUCUCGAUUGGACAUAGCACGGCGUGAUAAGUGUCUUCACCGGCACCUCAUAUGAGGGUGGCCGAUCGGGAGCUCUGUGCUUUCAAACCGUCUUCGGACAACGCUGACAACUUGACCUCAAAUCGAGUAGGACUACCCGCUGAACUUAAGCAUAUCAAUAAGCGGAGGA
rnacentral:misc_RNA from 1 species